UACGUAGGGUGCAAGCGUUGAUCGGAAUUACUGGGCGUAAAGCGUGCGCAGGCGGCUUUGUAAGCCGGAUGUGAAAUCCCCGGGCUUAACCUGGGAAUGGCAGUCGGGACUGCAAGGCUGGAGUGCGGCAGAGGAGACUGGAAUUCCUGGUGUAGCAGUGAAAUGCGUAGAUAUCAGGAGGAACACCGAUGGCGAAGGCAGGUCUCUGGGCUGACACUGACGCUCAUGCACGAAAGCGUGGGGAGCAAACAGG
rnacentral:rRNA from 1 species